rnacentral:rRNA from 1 species
AGUGAACGCUGGCGGUAGGCCUAACACGUGCAAGUCGAACGGCAGCACAGUAAGAGCUUGCUCUUACGGGUGGCGAGUGGCGGACGGGUGAGGAAUACAUCGGAAUCUACUUUUUCGUGGGGGAUAACGUAGGGAAACUUACGCUAAUACCGCAUACGACCUACGGGUGAAAGCAGGGGAUCUUCGGACCUUGCGCGAUUGAAUGAGCCGAUGUCGGAUUAGCUAGUUGGCGGGGUAAAGGCCCACCAAGGCGACGAUCCGUAGCUGGUCUGAGAGGAUGAUCAGCCACACUGGAACUGAGACACGGUCCAGACUCCUACGGGAGGCAGCAGUGGGGAAUAUUGGACAAUGGGCGAAAGCCUGAUCCAGCCAUACCGCGUGGGUGAAGAAGGCCUUCGGGUUGUAAAGCCCUUUUGUUGGGAAAGAAAAGCAGCAGGUUAAUACCCCGCUGUUCUGACGGUACCCAAAGAAUAAGCACCGGCUAACUUCGUG